GACGAACGCUGGCGGCGUGCUUAACACAUGCAAGUCGAACGGAAAGGCCCUGCUUUUGUGGGGCGCUCGAGUGGCGAACGGGUGAGUAACACGUGAGUAACCUGCCCUUGACUUUGGGAUAACUUCAGGAAACUGGGGCUAAUACCGGAUAGGAGCUCCUGCUGCAUGGUGGGGGUUGGAAAGUUUCGGCGGUUGGGGAUGGACUCGCGGCUUAUCAGCUUGUUGGUGGGGUAGUGGCUUACCAAGGCUUUGACGGGUAGCCGGCCUGAGAGGGUGACCGGCGACAUUGGGCCUGAGAGACGGCCCAGACUCCUACGGGAGGCAGCAGUGGGGAGUAUUGCACAAUGGGCGGAAGCCUGAUGCAGCAACGCCGCGUGCGGGAUGACGGCCUUCGGGUUGUAAACCGCUUUCGCCUGUGACGAAGCGUGAGUGACGGUAAUGGGUAAAGAAGCACCGGCUAACUACGUG
rnacentral:rRNA from 1 species